AGGCCUUUUGUAGGCUUGGGCUAGGCCUGUGAGAGCAGCGGGAAGACAUCACAGCCGUUCGAUUAGCCCGCGACGGUUCUGGUUGUCACGCUCGACUCCGCCGGACAUCUUCCUCUCCCGAAGUCGAUGGCGGCGGGUCGCUUCUCGUCCCUUUUCCGCCGUGCCGCUACCGUUCCGUGGAGUAGCAUCGCUGGAGAAGCCUUCGAUCGCGUCGUCCUCGUGGCCAAGACCGUUUGCUUCGUCCAUGUUAUCAAUAACUACGUUUGCAGCAUCGCUCUGGUUCGAGGUCCGAGCAUGCUGCCGACCAUUAACAUAACGGGAGAUAUUGUGGCAGUGGAGCGGAUCAGCCCUCGCUGGAGCCUGAUUUCCGUGGGUGACAUUAUACUACUCCGUUCGCCGGAGAACCCAAUGAAGACCGUCACGAAGAGGGUGCUUGGCCUUGAGGGCGAUACCGUCACAUUCCUAGUUGAUCCCGCCAAGGGGUUCUCGUCUAAGACUGUUUUGGUGCCGAAGGGGCAUGUUUGGGUGCAGGGAGAUAACAUUUAUGAAUCUAGGGAUUCAAGGCAAUUUGGACCGGUGCCUUAUGGACUGAUACAAGGGAGGGCAUUUUGUAGGGUUUGGCCACCUGAAAGUUUUGGUUCCAUUGGGUAAAAGAUGUAAAUUUCGUUGAGGCAUGCAAGAAGGCUAUGUCUCUAUCGUAAUCUUCUGAAAUUGACUCCGAUGCACAAGUGCAUGGGAUAGGGGGAACUGAAACUAUGGGAUAUUGAUUUUUUUUUUUGGUACUUCUAAAAAAAAAAAUUUGUGAUUUUUUUAAUAAUUUAUGAUUAUGAAAACCAAUUUCAUUUCUUAUAAUCCAUCUUGUAUUUUCUAUACUUAGAAUUCUCACCCUUAUAGUUCUUUUGGGUUCUUCUUCUUGUGAAAAUAGAUGGGAUUCGUGCAUAACUUGCUAUGUGGACACUUUUAUUCGAAUUUGAUCUAUUUUGUGGAUCA